rnacentral:rRNA from 1 species
UACGAAGGGGGCUAGCGUUGCUCGGAAUCACUGGGCGUAAAGCGCACGUAGGCGGCUUGCUAAGUCAGGGGUGAAAUCCUGGAGCUCAACUCCAGAACUGCCUUUGAUACUGGCGACCUUGAGUCCGGAAGAGGUGAGUGGAACUCCGAGUGUAGAGGUGAAAUUCGUAGAUAUUCGGAAGAACACCAGUGGCGAAGGCGGCUCACUGGUCCGGUACUGACGCUGAGGUGCGAAAGCGUGGGGAGCAAACAGG